rnacentral:rRNA from 1 species
GAUGAACGCUGGCGGCGUGCCUAAUACAUGCAAGUCGAGCGAAUGGAUUAAGAGCUUGCUCUUAUGAAGUUAGCGGCGGACGGGUGAGUAACACGUGGGUAACCUGCCCAUAAGACUGGGAUAACUCCGGGAAACCGGGGCUAAUACCGGAUAACAUUCUGAACCGCAUGGUUCGAAAUUGAAAGGUGGCUUCGGCUGCCACUUAUGGAUGUACCCGCGUCGCAUUAGCUAGUUGGUGAGGUAACGGCUCACUAAGGCAACGAUGCGUAGCCGACCUGAGAGGGUGCGCGGCCACACUGGGACUGAGACACGGCCCAGACUCCUACGGGAGGCAGCAGUAGGGAAUCUUCCGCAAUGGACGAAAGUCUGGCGGAGCAACGCCGCGUGAGUGAUGAAGGCUUUCGGGUCGUAAAACUCUGUUGUUAGGGAAGAACAAGUGCUAGUUGAAUAAGCUGGCACCUUGACGGUACCUAACCAGAAAGCCACGGCUAACUACGUGCCAGCCGCCGCGAAAA